rnacentral:misc_RNA from 1 species
GAUGAAGAACGUAGCGAAAUGCGAUACGUAAUGUGAAUUGCAAAUUCAGUGAAUCAUCGAGUCUUUGAACGCACAUUGCGCCCCCUGGUAUUCCGGGGGGCAUGCCUGUCCGAGCGUCAUUGCUGCCCUCAAGCACGGCUUGUGUGUUGGGCCCCGUCCUCCGAUCCCGGGGGACGGGCCCGAAAGGCAGCGGCGGCACCGCGUCCGGUCCUCGAGCGUAUGGGGCUUUGUCGCCCGCUCUGUAGGCCCGGCCGGCGCUUGCCGAUCAACCCAAAUUUUUUAUCCAGGUUGACCUCGGAUCAGGUAGGGAUACCCGCUGAACUUAAGCAUAUCAAUAAGCGGAGGA